rnacentral:lncRNA from 1 species
AUACAUAUGCAUUCAUACAGUCUGGGUUUUUUUCAGUGGGCUAUUUAAUUUUGGCUCAAAUGUUGAAUCGUAUUGUUCAUUAAUUAAAGAGUAUUGGGUUUGUUUGUAUAAUUGAGUAUGCUUAAGCCCAUCAUUUUCAGUCAGCUUAAAACCCUAGCAUAUAUAUGCAUAUAUACCUUUAGGAUCCUAGUCUUGCCUCAUGACCUUGCUUUGCUUUUAAGCAUUUAACUUGCUAUUAAUGUCUCUGGUUUUGCAUCUAUAUCCCUUCACCUAGUUAUAUCAUUAUAUCUUAACUGAUAAGUGAUUAGGUCUUAUUAGGCUUGUGGCUCCAUAUAUGAUAGGGAUAAUAGAGUCUAGCUACUGCAUAUAUAAAUAGAAGUCCUAGUUACCUGAUUGUUUUGGCUGCCGCAUAACACGGACUAGACUAACAGAGCAUUAGCACCGAGUGCAUCAAAAUAGGUUUUUAUGUUUUGGUUGCCGCAUGCUUUAGAUUAGUUUAGGGUUUUUCAUGUUGCUACCGCAUAUGCAUGAAUAUUGGGUUUCUUAGAUAAAAACAUCAAAAGGUAGUAGCGUUGGGUUUUUGAACAAGAAGAAUUAUUUUUAUUGUUGCCAUCUUAUGGUUUCAACAACAUGCGUUCUUAAAGAAAAAAUAUAUUUUUCAUGCUGCUUUCAUUUAAGUUUUUAAUUGAAAGUCAAUUAUGAAAAUGUGCCUUGUGAUUUUCAUAAUUGAUUGGUUUUUCAAAUAAACACUUCAUUAUAUAAACAAAUUGCAUGAUCAAGUGAGUAUCUUGCAAAGUUCGAGGAAAAGGUGAUUGACAAUCGAGUUAGUGUCGUGCCACUUCAACUCGAAGAUUGAAGAGAGAUCGAGUAGCAAAGUGCAGAGACAAAAUUGCCUACUAGUAUGCAUGUCUAGUUGAUGAGUUUUGGAAGUCUUUCUGUACUUAUUUCUCUUAGUGUUUGUCUUGGCUUGGGAGACCGAGGAUUUUCCCGGUGGUGGGUUUUGCCUCAUUAAAUCCUACAUCAUGUGUGCACUUUUUAUUUAUCGUUUUAAUUGCAUAUGAGUAUGAUAGUUUGAUAUGUGAUGUGAAUGGGGAUUUAAUUUGAGAACUGAAAAUUAAAUUGAAAAUUGAAUUGGAUUUUUAAAUUGGAACCUAUUCACCCCCUCUAAGUUAAACUAGUACCCAUCCUAAAUAAAGUAAAGUUAGUUGUUAUGAAUAAAGUAAUAAUUGUGGCACCCGAGACUUUGGUUAGUAACCGGGUCAGUCCUGCCUAAUCUACAGUGAUUCUUGCGUCAAACAGUUGAGUCUUAGCAUGGGGCAGGGUGGUUAAUUGGUUUAGUAGCCUUUCCAGCUCGAGUU